CGCUGGUUGCUAUUGCCGUUUGCUACUGCAUUUUGCUGCUCAUUGGUACCUAUACAGAUAGAAUAUAAUAUUGCAUUCCCAAAUAAAAAAUAUAGAGAUCUGUAUGUUUUAAUUUUUUUGCAAAUUGAACCAACUACUUGUUAUCUCUUCUCUAAUCUUUCUCUUGAUCAGAUUCUCUUUUAUGCUCUCCAUUGCAUGCAACAAUUACUCAGUAUGUAAAGUGCGUACAGUAAUAAUCAUGGAACCCUCUAGCUCCUUAUUGAUUCCAUGGCCCCUUUAAUUUCCUUGCAAUUGUUAGUAUUAUUUGUUCCACCAGUAUCUCAUCAUGUGAUUUUUUUUCCCUUGCAAUUUUUGUGCCUCCAAGAUGUCAGCUAACAUCGCCCAGGUGCAGAGGCCGGGGGUCAUCCUCCUUUUCUAAAAAAAAAAGAUGUCAGCUAACAUCGCCCAGGUGCAGAGGCCGGGGGUCAUCCUCCUUUAAAAAAAAAAGAUGUCAGCUAACGGUCUGGCAGUAUCUAAACAAAUGCAGUAACCAUGAUGUUGAUAUGAAACUGUCCUACAGGUCAGGUUUUGAACUAUUGGCAUGCAUGCAGCUUCAGGGGUAGAUCGAAAUGUACAGCUUGUGGCAUAAUCGCAGAAAGUCGGGCAACCCAUACGCUUACUUGAUAAACCCUCCCCUGGCUUAGGUCACUCAGGUGUGAGAAUGGCGAUAGAGCACACGAGCUCGCCUGCUCUGGCUACAUUGGCCAACAGGACAAUAACGCGCGCGUCGCUAGGUGUAUUAAGUGCGAUCGUACAAACAGGGGAGGAUGGGUAGCGUUGAGCAGUAUGAUGCCGUGACGGUUCCGUUCAAUAAGAUAGCACGCUGACAGCAGAACAUGCAAAUGUCCCGUUGGUACAGGAAAACGGAGCGCGGUACAUAACGAUUGCCGAUGGUGCGGUCCGGCAUACCAACAGCAUGUUUGUCUAUAUUUUUUUUGCCUAUAUGAUAUGACACCGCAGGUCCACCCCGCCCACCACUUAGGAAAAAAACAAACAAAUCUAUCCUUCGGGAGCCGCACUGGUCGACAAGCUCCAAGCUAUGGCAACGGCGGAGGCGGAAGAUGAUGGAUUCGAGUUCCUAUCAGAUCCGGCUGCCAGGUAUGUUUGCUGGUGCUGAUUUUUGUUUGUAGCGACGCCCGCUGUUACUAGACGCGCCGCUGAAUAGACUGCUCCCUUGUUUGAGCAUGUUCCCGCUGCCGGAUCUUGGAGGCGGCGACUCCACACUGGACGGGGGUCGGGGAACACUCCCAAAUUCUGGUAUGCACGGCCGCUGAGUCCAGCAUUGGUUAUGUUGGCUAUGCGGCGCUGACAGUCCAAGUAGACCUAAACAAUACUCCCUCCGUUCCAAAAUAGAUGACUCAACUUUAUACUAACUUUAAUAUAAAGUUAAUACAAAAUUGGGUCAUCUAUUUUGAAACGGAGGGAAUACUUGCGAGGGGCUGAGUUCGGCGGAGUCAAACUCAUCAGAGGAAUCAACGGGUAAAGAUGCAUGAUCCCCAAGCCCUGGGCUGGACCAAGAGGGUUCAUGUUGGACACGCACCUACUGAACUUGUACCUUGUGCUGGCAGAAUAAGUGCCCUGGAGAAAACACCGAGAGUCUAUGCAGAGAAGAAGAUGGCACUGUUGUAGUUCCUGAAGUAUGGAGCAAUUUUGAUUCGCUCGGAGAAGCAUAUGACUACUACAAUCUGUAUUAAUUCCAGGGAAACUGGGUUCACAAUUUGAUACGGGAAGAGCAAGCUGAACAUCCAGAGAACAAAAUGCAUGCAGGAAAUAUUCCGCGGAUACUCGGGCAAACCAAAAAGAAGUAACACACGGUCUUGCCGGUGCAGGUGCCCCACAAUGAUACGGUUGCUACGGUCAAACGACAACAGCUGGUAUAUAAUCAAGCACAGGCCAUCUCACAAGAUAAAUGUGGUGACAACCUAUACUGGCCUUCACACAGACACAUCGAUAUAUAUACAUGUGACCUUGUCAAGCAGCUCCACGAAAAUAAUAUUAGCAUCGGCAAAGGUGUACAACAUAAUUGGUAGUUUCUCUGUGGUUCAGUGAGCAAUGUACCUUUCAGCAAAAGGGCGUUGAGGGGCUUUGUGGAGAAAUCAGCCGAGACAAGGCAGAUGAUGACAUACGGAAGACAAUGGAGGUUUUUGCAGAAUUGGGAUCAAAAGAUUCUGGGUUGUACUACAGGGUACAACCCAACGAAGAUAUCUGCAUAUGGAAUUUGUUAUGAUCUGCUCAGCAAGCAGGGCAUAGUACCAUUACUUCGGAGAUGCAACAACAUUUGAUACGACAUACCACACAAACCUGUACGAUAUACGUUUGGCCUGUUUGUGGGGGUGAGCAAUCACUUCCAAAGCGUGAUCUUCGGCGGCGUGCUGGUAAGGGAUGAAACAGUAGAAACAUUUGAGUGAGUGUUCACUGAAUUUAUCCGCAUGAUGGGCGGCAAGCAUCCGCAGACCUUGCUCACAGAUCAGUGCAGGGCAACGGAGGUAGCAAUCGAGAAGGUGAUGCCAGAAACCACCCGCCGAUGGUGCAAGUUGCACGUGCUUAAGAAGGCAAAGGAAUCUAUCGGUCCAUAUUACACAAAACGGAACAACUUCAGAUCAGAAUUGCACAAGACAAUACAUCACAUGCUGACGGCUGAUGAGUUCAACAUUGCAUGGAAGGAGCUGACAGAGCCACGUGGUCUGCAAAAACAACCUUUACCUAAACAGAUAUAGCAAACAGAAUCAAAAUGGGCGAAGCCGUACUUCAAUGGUAAAUUUUGUGCACCCGCAAAAAAUGGUAAAUUCUGUGUAAAAAUGAGCACCACGCAUCGUUGUGAGAGUGCCAACCAUAUACUCAGAGCUUAUGUUCCAGCAAGUGCCCCAUACAUCUAUUUGUUUGGCAGUACACGAGACUUCUAUAGUAUAUGCCAUGAGCCAGGUCACAAGAGCACCACCUCCACCUGUCCACAGAGAGACGAUCUUCUUCAAAAGGAAAGAAAAUAAGCUGAAUGCUCAAACUGUUUUGUCGGUGGUCACAGGAAGAACACCUGCCACAAGCCUGAGGUUGUGCUGCAUGUUGUUGAAAACGCUACUUUAGAGGAAAAAGAGAUGUGCGGGUGAGCUGAUUAGAUUCAGCAUUUUUAUUUGUGUGUUCUUGAGGGUUCCGUAGCCGUUUGCCAGAACAUUGUGUUAUUGCUAAUAAUAGCUGUUUGUGAGCAUUGUGUGCUA